CCCUCAACAAUCGGGGAAUCAAGUUAAUCUUCAAUUAUGUGAAAGAAUUUCAGGCACGAGUGCAGCUCAAGUUACCAAGUAACUUACUGUUGUGAAAAGAUUCAUACAGCAAGCUGCCUACAUUCAGGGCUUUUAAUGAUGUUCUUCCCCCAACAAGGCAUGAAGGUGGGGCUCACCUCCGUCUGGCCUUCCUGCCACCUUCUGCAACACACCCCACAUCUGAUCCUGCUUAGAGUCAAAGAUGAAUCUGGCAUAAUACAAACAGCACUAGACUGGAAGCAUAAAGUUUCUCUUAUCUGUGCCUUGGUUUCCUCAUGUGGAAAAUGAAAAUGUUGACAUAAAUAAUCCCACAGGCCUCUGCUAGUACCAUUUUGUGAUUUUAUAUCGUGCUUACCACACCUAGAAAUAGGGCCAUCAUUCCAGCCAGCUAACAGAGAAAAAGAAGGUAAAAUAAUCAGACUUGGGAAAAUAUAUUUCAGAGACCAAGUAAA